rnacentral:rRNA from 1 species
UACAGACGGGGCCAGCGUUGUUCGGAAUCACUGGGCUUAAAGCGGGUGUAGGCGGGUCGGCAAGUGUCUUGUGAAAGCCCUCGGCUCAACCGAGGAAUUGCUGGGCAAACUGCUGGUCUUGAGGCGGGUAGGGGUGCAUGGAACUCUAGGUGGAGCGGUGAAAUGCGUAGAGAUCUAGAGGAACGCCGGUGGCGAAAGCGGUGCACUGGGCCCGAUCUGACGCUGAGACCCGAAAGCGUAGGGAGCAAACAGGAUUAGAUACCCCCGUA